GAAUUGCGAAAAGUAAUGUGAAUUGCAGAAUUCCGUGAAUCAUCGAAUCUUUGAACGCAUAUUGCACUCUCUGGCUCUCCAGAGAGUAUGCCUGUUUGAGUAUCAGUUUUAAUCUCUCACCCUCCAUUGGGGGGUGCGGAUUUGAGCGAUCCGCUGGCAUUGGGUUGUUUACGCGGCCUAAUGAUUGACGCGGUUGCUUGAAAUGUAUAGCUAAGCGGUAUUGACCACUGCUUAAGAUGACUAGGCGUAUUAGUUUCCCAUUUGGGAAUCCACUCGUGCGCCGGUGUAUAAGUCUCAUAAGCCUUUGCGUUGGUUGAUCGCUAUGCUCCCUUAAGUGUUCCGUUUCGGGCACUUACUAAGUUUGGCUUGCGGUUUGCAUACUAAACUUGAUCUUGAUCUC
rnacentral:misc_RNA from 1 species